rnacentral:rRNA from 1 species
AUUGAACGCUGGCGGCAGGCCUAACACAUGCAAGUCGAACGGUAACAGGAAGCAGCUUGCUGCUUCGCUGACGAGUGGCGGACGGGUGAGUAAUGUCUGGGAAGCUGCCUGGUGGAGGGGGAUAACUACUGGAAACGGUAGCUAAUACCGCAUAAUGUCGCAAGACCAAAGAGGGGGACCUUCGGGCCUCUUGCCAUCGGAUGUGCCCAGAUGGGAUUAGCUUGUUGGUGGGGUAACGGCUCACCAAGGCGACGAUCCCUAGCUGGUCUGAGAGGAUGACCAGCCACACUGGAACUGAGACACGGUCCAGACUCCUACGGGAGGCAGCAGUGGGGAAUAUUGCACAAUGGGCGCAAGCCUGAUGCAGCCAUGCCGCGUGUAUGAAGAAGGCCUUCGGGUUGUAGAGUACUUUCAGCGGGGAGGAAGGGAGUAAAGUUAAUACCUUUGCUCAUUGACGUUACCCGCAGAAGAAGCACCGGCUAACUCCGUG